rnacentral:rRNA from 1 species
GAGUUUGAUCCUGGCUCAGGAUGAACGCUGGCGGCGUGCCUAAUACAUGCAAGUCGAGCGAACGGACGAGAAGCUUGCUUCUCUGAUGUUAGCGGCGGACGGGUGAGUAACACGUGGAUAACCUACCUAUAAGACUGGGAUAACUUCGGGAAACCGGAGCUAAUACCGGAUAAUAUUUUGAACCGCAUGGUUCAAAAGUGAAAGACGGUCUUGCUGUCACUUAUAGAUGGAUCCGCGCUGCAUUAGCUAGUUGGUAAGGUAACGGCUUACCAAGGCAACGAUGCAUAGCCGACCUGAGAGGGUGAUCGGCCACACUGGAACUGAGACACGGUCCAGACUCCUACGGGAGGCAGCUGUAGGGAAUCUUCCGCAAUGGGCGAAAGCCUGACGGAGCAACGCCGCGUGAGUGAUGAAGGUCUUCGGAUCGUAAAACUCUGUUAUUAGGGAAGAACAUAUGUGUAAGUAACUGUGCACAUCUUGACGGUACCUAAUCAGAAAGCCACGGCUAACUACGUCG